rnacentral:rRNA from 1 species
AUUGAACGCUGGCGGCAUGCUUUACACAUGCAAGUCGAACGGUAACAGGCCGCAAGGUGCUGACGAGUGGCGAACGGGUGAGUAAUGCAUCGGAACGUGCCCAGUCGUGGGGGAUAACUGCUCGAAAGAGCAGCUAAUACCGCAUACGAACUAUGGAUGAAAGCGGGGGAACGUAAGGCCUCGCGCGAUUGGAGAGGCCGCUGUCAGAUUAGGUAGUUGGUGGGGUAAAGGCUCACCAAGCCAACGAUCUGUAGCUGGUCUGAGAGGACGACCAGCCACACUGGGACUGAGACACGGCCCAGACUCCUACGGGAGGCAGCAGUGGGGAAUUUUGGACAAUGGGGGCAACCCUGAUCCAGCAAUGCCGCGUGCAGGAAGAAGGCCUUCGGGUUGUAAACUGCUUUUGUACGGAACGAAACGGUCUGGGUUAAUACCCUGGGCUAACGACGGUACCGUAAGAAUAAGCACCGGCUAACUACGUGCCAGCCGCCGCUGUAAGAC